rnacentral:rRNA from 1 species
UACGUAGGGCGCAAGCGUUAUCCGGAAUUAUUGGGCGUAAAGAGCUCGUAGGCGGUUUGUCGCGUCUGCCGUGAAAGUCCGGGGCUCAACUCCGGAUCUGCGGUGGGUACGGGCAGACUAGAGUGAUGUAGGGGAGACUGGAAUUCCUGGUGUAGCGGUGAAAUGCGCAGAGUAUCAGGAGGAACACCGAUGGCGAAGGCAGGUCUCUGGGCCACUACUGACGCUGAGAAGCGAAAGCAUGGGGAGCGAACAGG